CCUACGGGAGGCAGCAGUGGGGAAUCUUGCGCAAUGGGCGAAAGCCUGACGCAGCCAUGCCGCGUGUAUGAUGAAGGUCUUAGGAUUGUAAAAUACUUUCACCGGUGAAGAUAAUGACUGUAGCCGGAGAAGAAGCCCCGGCUAACUUCGUGCCAGCAGCCGCGGUAAUACGAAGGGGGCUAGCGUUGCUCGGAAUUACUGGGCGUAAAGGGAGCGUAGGCGGACAUUUAAGUCAGGGGUGAAAUCCCAGAGCUCAACUCUGGAACUGCCUUUGAUACUGGGUGUCUUGAGUGUGAUAGAGGUAUGUGGAACUCCGAGUGUAGAGGUGAAAUUCGUAGAUAUUCGGAAGAACACCAGUGGCGAAGGCGACAUACUGGAUCAUUACUGACGCUGAGGCUCGAAAGCGUGGGGAGCAAACAGGAUUAGAUACCCUGGUAGUCCACGCCGUAAACGAUGAUUGCUAGUUGUCGGGAUGUUUACAUCUCGGUGACGCAGCUACGCAUAGACANCCGCCGUGGGAGGUACGGUCGCAGAUAAACUACAAGAAGUAGAGNGNGAGAGNGCGACGACGACGACGAGGGAGGAGG
rnacentral:rRNA from 1 species